GACGAACGCUGGCGGCGUGCUUAACACAUGCAAGUCGAACGGAAAGGCCCUGCUUUUGUGGGGUGCUCGAGUGGCGAACGGGUGAGUAGCACGUGAGUAACCUGCCCUUGACUUUGGGAUAACUUCAGGAAACUGGGGCUAAUACCGGAUAGGAGCUCCUGCUGCAUGGUGGGGGUUGGAAAGUUUCGGCUGUUGGGGAUGGACUGGCGGCUUAUCAGCUUGUUGGUGGGGUAGUGGCUUACCAAGGCUUUGACGGGUAGCCGGCCUGAGAGGGUUGCCGGCCACCUGGGGACUGAGAUAGGGCGCAGACUCCUACGGGAGGCAGCAGGGGGGAAUAUGGCAGAAUGGGCGGGAGCCAGAUGCAGAAACGCCGCGUGCGGGAUGACGGCUUUCGGGUGGUAAACCGCUUUCGCAGUUAACGAAGCGUUAGUGACGGUAACGGGUAAAGAAGCACCGGCUAACUACGUG
rnacentral:rRNA from 1 species